rnacentral:rRNA from 1 species
ACGGGAGGCAGCAGUGGGGAAUAUUGGGCACUGGGCGAACGCCUGACCCAGCGACGCCGCGUGAGGUAAGACGGUCUUCGGAUUGUAAACCUCUUUCAGCAGGGAAGAAGGCAGUGACGGUACCUGCAGAAGAAGUCACGGCUAACUACGUGCCAGCAGCCGCGGUAAUACGUAGGUGGCGAGCGUUAUCCGGAAUUACUGGGUGUAAAGGGUGUGUAGGCGGAGGAGCAAGUCGGGUGUGAAAAUUGUGGGCUCAACCCACAAACUGCACUUGAAACUGUCCCCCUUGAGAGUGGGAGAGGUAAACGGAAUUCCUGGUGUGGUAGUGAAAUGCGUAGAUAUCAGGAGGAACACCGGUGGCGAAGGCGGUUUACUGGACCACAACUGACGCUGAGACACGAAAGCGUGGGGAGCAAACAGGAUUAGAUACCCUGGUA